CCUACGGGUGGCAGCAGUGAGGAAUAUUGGUCAAUGGCCGAGAGGCUGAACCAGCCAAGUCGCGUGAGGGAAGACGGCCCUACGGGUUGUAAACCUCUUUUGUCGGGGAGCAAAGCGAACCACGUGUGGUUCAUUGAGAGUACCCGAAGAAAAAGCAUCGGCUAACUCCGUGCCAGCAGCCGCGGGAAUACGGAGGAUGCGAGCGUUAUCCGGAUUUAUUGGGUUUAAAGGUUGCGCAGGCGGAGGUGCAAGUCAGCGGUCAAAUUGCGGGGCUCAACCCCGUACUGCCGUUGAAACUGCAUCCCUUGAGUGCGCGAGAAGUAUGCGGAAGGCGUGGUGUAGCGGUGAAAUGCAGAGAUAUCACGCAGAACUCCGAUUGCGAAGGCAGCAUACCGGCGCGCAACUGAUGCUCAUGCACGAAAGCGUGGGUAUCGAACAGGAUUAGAUACCCGAGUAGUC
rnacentral:rRNA from 1 species